GUGUCAUCAGCCGCGGUAAUACGUAGGGGGCAAGCGUUAUCCGGAUUUACUGGGUGUAAAGGGAGCGUAGACGGCACUGCAAGUCUGGAGUGAAAGCCCGGGGCUCAACCCCGGGACUGCUUUGGAAACUGUGGUGCUGGAGUGCAGGAGAGGUAAGUGGAAUUCCUAGUGUAGCGGUGAAAUGCGUAGAUAUUAGGAGGAACACCAGUGGCGAAGGCGGUUUACUGGACUGUAACUGACGUUGAGGCUCG
rnacentral:rRNA from 1 species